UUGCUUCACCAGCACAUAUACUAAAAUUGGAAAAAUACAGAGAAAAUUAGCAUGGUCCCUAUGCAAGAAUGACAAGCACAUUUACUAAGAGUUCCAUAUUUAA